UCUUGUAUCUUUUAAAAGACCUAGUUAAUAGGUAUGCUUUAGGAGGGGCUUGCGCCAUAUUAGUUAGUUGGUAGGGUAAUGGCCUACCAAGACGAUGAUGUGUAGCUGGACUGAGAGGUUGAACAGCCACAUUGGGACUGAGACACGGCCCAAACUCCUACGGGAGGCAGCAGUAGGGAAUUUUCGGCAAUGGAGGAAACUCUGGCCGAGCAACGCCCCGGGAAGGACAAAUUAUCUCGGUAUGUAAAGUUCUUUUAUCGAGGAAGAAAAGCAAAUGGCGAACCAUUUGUUUCCCGGUACUUGAAGAAUAAGCCCCGGCUAAUUAUGUGCCAGCAGCCGCGGUAAGACAUAAGGGGCAAGUGUUAUCCGGAAUUAUUGGGCGUAAAGGGUGCGUAGGCGGUCUAGUAAGUCAGUGGUGUAAUGGCAACGCUUAACGUUGUCCGGCUAUUGAAACUGCUAAACUUGAGUUAGAUAGAGCCGAGUGGAACUCCAUGUGUAGCGGUAAAAUGCGUAAAUAUAUGGAGGAACACCAGAGGCGUAGGCGGCUCGCUGGGUCUUAACUGACGCUGAGGCACGAAAGCGUGGGGAGCAAACAGGAUUAGAUACCCUGGUAGUCCACGCCGUAAACGAUGAGUACUAAGUGUCGGGUUAAACCGGUACUGAAGUUAACACAUUAAGUACUCCGCCUGAGUAGUACGUACGCAAGUAUGAAACUUAAAGGAAUUGACGGGACUCCGCACAAGCGGUGGAUCAUGUUGUUUAAUUCGAAGAUACCCGAAAAACCUUACCAGGUCUUGACAUGUUUUUGCAAAAUGAUAGUAAUAUCGUGGAGGUUACCAGAAACACAGGUGGUGCAUGGUUGUCGUCAGCUCGUGUCGUGAGAUGUUAGGUUAAGUCCUAAAACGAGCGAAACCCUUAUCGUUAGUUGCCAGCACGUUAUGGUGGGGACUUUAACGAGACUGCCAAUGAUAAAUUGGAGGAAGGUGAGGAUCACGUCAAAUCAGCAUGCCCCUUAUGACCUGGGCUACAAACGUGAUACAAUGGCUGUUACAAAGGGUAGCUGAAACGCAAGUUCUUGGCCAAUCCCCAAAAACAGUCCCAGUCCGGAUUGAAGUCUGCAACUCGACUUCAUGAAGUUGGAAUCGCUAGUAAUCGCGAAUCAGCAUGUCGCGGUGAAUACGUUCUCGGGGUUUGUACACACCGCCCGUCAAACCACGAAAGUUGGCAAUACCCCAAAACGGUAGCCUAACUCGUUUAUUCGAG
rnacentral:rRNA from 1 species